rnacentral:rRNA from 1 species
GUCUGCAGCCAUGCCACGCUGAAUGUGCCCAAUCUCGUCUGAUCUCGGAAGCUAAGCUGGGUCGGGCCUGGUUAGUACCUGGAUGGGAGACCACCUAGGAAGACCAGGUACUGUCGUUG